CAGUAGCCACGGGAAUACAGAGGUCUCAAGCGUUGUUCGGAUUCAUUGGGCGUAAAGGGUGCGUAGGUGGCGGUGUAAGUCUAACGUGAAAUCUCGGGGCUCAACCUCGAAAUUGCGUCGGAUACUGCAUUGCUAGAGGAUUGUAGAGGAGAGUGGAAUUCUUGGUGUAGCAGUGAAAUGCGUAGAUAUCAUGAGGAAGACCAGUUGCGAAGGCGACUCUCUGGGCAAUUCCUGACACUGAGGCACGAAAGCGUGGGGAGCAAACAGGAUUAGAUACCCCGGUAGUCCCUGUCUCUUAUAC
rnacentral:rRNA from 1 species